CAGGCCCUUUUGGAAAGACAAGGUCAGGCCGAAUUAGGUUUACACAAAAUGGCUUCCUCAUAUUCUCCAAUAUAUGCUAUUGCUUGCCAUUUUUAUUUGUCGCUUAAGAAAUCCAAAGUGAGAUACAAAUGCACAUGACCUUUGAUUUUGGCACUGUGGGGGUAAUUAGUGACUCUGAUGAGUAGUCUCCUUGGAGUAGGGGGCUGGAAGCUAGAUUUGAGUGGAUUGAGGAACGAAUGGGAGAUGAGAAAGUGGAGAUAGUAGCUUUGGACACACAGUCGUGUGCCAAAUAAUGACGUUUCGGUCAAUGACGGACUGCAUAUACGGUGGUCCCGUAAGAUUAGUAUCAUAUAGCCCAGGGGUAUAGUAGGCUAUGCCAUCUAGGUUUGACUAAGUACACCCUGAUGUUCACACAGUAGUGAAAUCACCUAACAAUGCAUUUCUCUGAUCAUGUCCCUGUUGUUAAGCAACACAUGACUGUAUAUUGCUAAUGAUCCUUGACAUUGUCCUUUUUCCAAUCUAGUUGCUUUUAUCUGUGGGUUAAAAACAUGAAAAUGAUUAUAAUAAUUCUGAGCUUCGCAGCAUGUGGUAGGCAUUGUUUAAAAAGAAACCCACACCAGAAUUGUGAAAAAUAUGUAAUAGUGUAUCUUUUAAAAAGAAGAAAUGAGAACCAACCUGAUUAGUAACUUGCCUGGGGUCACAGUCAGUGGCCUUGGUAGUUUCAAUGUCUUUGAAAGAUAGUCUUGCCCAUACCCUGGCCUUCUGUUCUUUAAUCUCUCAUCCAGUGAUCUUUCCUUCUACUCUACCUCAAGUAUUCAGUCCCAUGGCUAGUAACUAGCUCUUAUCAUUACCAGUAAUUGUAACUCACCCCGCCACCCCCACCCCGUAGUCUGUUUUUAGUAUCUCACUUUACCUUCUCUCUUAUUCCAACUCUAAUGAGAUCUAUAAUCCUUUUGAUCUAUACUUCUUUUCGCUGGCCCUCCCCUCAUGUUAUCACUUCCACCCUUGCCCAGCUAAAAUAGAAUCAGUGAUUAUAAUCACUCCCUGCAAGGGUCAGCAUAGCAUGACUGUUGAAGCCUGGGUUUCAGUCCUGGCUGUACCACUUGCUAUGUGACCUUGGGCAAGUUACCCAAUUAUAUACCUGUUUCCUCAUCUCUAAAAUGUGGAUACUCCCACUGGAAGUACUAACCUUGUAAGGUUGUUUUGAAGGUUAUGUAAGUUUGAGAUACUCCAUAUAGAGUGCUUCGAACGAUGACAGUGCUUGGCAAUAUGGUCCCACACUCACUCCGUUGUUCUUGCAUAGAAAACUCCAAAUGUGAUUAAAUUCAAUUCUAUGUGCUUGCACCUGUGCAGCUAGAAGACAAACAUAGCCACAUUGACUUGUCUCACUUAAGUUCAUGAACAUUAACCUUAACUAGGCCCUUUAUGCUGCCUGACAGUCAUAUAUUUCACUCACUAGACCAUUCACUCUUCUGCUUCCAUAGGCAGAUUUCAUGUCAUCUCCUCCUUAUUUUCAGCUGAUGACCCUAGAUUUUAGAUAUUAUUGAGAUUAUAGAAGCAGUCAGGACAGAACUUCUACAAGGUCCUACCAGAGCUACCUACCUGCCAGCUUCCUUUUCUUGUGGAUAGCUAUCUGUUGUGGAUGGUGCUGUCUAAGGCCUGUCCCUCCACUUUUCCACUGUAUCCUGUCCUCUGUCACCUGUGAAGGACAUCACUCCAUCAGUUCUCCCAUUCUCCUCUGCAUCAUUGAUUUUUCCAUUUCUAGAGUAUAGUACAAACAUUCUCCCCAUCUUAAAACCCUGCCAUGUCUUCACAUCCCUCUUUGGCUGCUGCCCCAUUUCUCUGCUCCUUGCAGCAAAACUUGAGCAGCUCUUGAUUCUGUUUACUUUUUUCCACAUCUUGUUCUUUUUCAAAUACAUUGUACUAUUCCUAAAGUAAAGGAAACUUUUCUCCCACUUUGUACUUGUCCUGUAUCCUUGAGCACAGUACUUAAAAAAAUCUCUUUUCUCAUUAGUAAAAAUGAGUAAUAAUUUACCUGCCUUCCUCAUAAAGUUGGUGUGAAAAUCAGGUGAGAUCAUGGAUCUGAAAAUUUCUACUGAAUUGUGAAAAUGAAAUAAAUUUAUGCAAUUUUUUAAACAAAUCUGCUUUCAUCACUUUUCUAUUAUUUUGAUCGAUGUUUUCAUUAUCCUUUCUAAGAAAAGGUUUGUGUGAAUGAGGUGGUAUUAGUAUCUCAACUUGACAUAAUCAGCAGUUUCAAACAGUUUGUAAGAGCAAUGUCCUGCCCUUUUUUAACUUGGAAAUUGUGAGAUUAUUUGAUAGGUAAUGUAUAACAUUUCUGUUACUUUUUGAAAGAAAUGUGCUAAAUUUCAGCGUGCUGCAGCACUGGUCCAUGCCGAAGGACACCACAGCAUCUGCUCCCUCAGAGGCAGUAGACUGACUACAGAUGACUAAUAUGUAUGAUCAGGUCCUAGAGGCUUCAACAGAGAGAUAAAGAUUAUACUCUCUCUCCCCCUCCUCCACACACUUCUGGUUGAAUAGGUAGGUGAUUUUUUUUCCCUAGUGUAUUAGGGAGAUCCAUUCUCUGUUGGUAUAGAAACUUUAAAAAUUAUGUGUAUCUUGGGAGUUUCUACUUUUCUACUUAACUCAGUCUUCAAAGUCCUGUGUGUUUUUUGGUCUUGUUGAAAUCAUCCUGUUAGGAAUAUAUUUUAGAAUAGGAUAGAUUAAAUUGGCAUGCGUAGUUUGCCUUAGGAGCCUAUGGACCAUAGUUGCUGUGGGAAAAAUGAAUUCUGGAUUUCAAGUUAUAUUUAAAAUAGUAGGCUCUUGGAUCCUAACCUUAAUUUAAGGAUUGAUUGCCCUUGUUUACUGUAUUCACUCAGUACUGUUUACUGUACUCAGUUAUUUUUUUCAACAAAAAAUAUCUCUUGUGCUAUAUUUUUUCAUUCCUUGGGUCCAGUGAGGAUAUUUUUUUCUGUUUGCACUGAAGUGGACUGACAUCUUUAUAAUCAAUUCUGUUUUUAGAAUUAGCAGGAACCUACUUUUGGGGAGAAAUUCAGGGACGACUACUUAGUGCCUGUGCCACUUUCUCAAAUGGAGCGAUACCACCCAAGGAACCAGAGAGGAAAAAGCUUUGCCCAUAGUGAAAAUCUAGGAAAUCCUUCUGUCAACAUAUUUGGCUUUGGCACGCUCUCCUUUUGCUAAUAAUUGCCAAAAUUUGGUUGCUCUUAUUUUUUAAUUUGUUAGGUUAUGUAUUAGAACUGCUGCCUUAGACUUUUUUUUUAAUGAAAUCUCAAAAUUGCAGUGUUUUCUUGUGUAAUAUUAGUAAGCAAUAGUUGGGGAGGUGCAGAGAGAUUUUCUUCUUCUUUAAAACUAUUGUUUUCCCUUAAAUUACUAAAAUAAUCCAGGCUUAUUAUAGUAAAUAAAGUAUAUUGAGUUAAAAAGCUUUAGGCCCCUGAUCUAGGUAACCACUGUGGUCUCUGUACAUGCCCUUGGUCAUGUUUGUUUCUAUGUAUCUAAAUGUAAUACAUGAACACAACUACAUUGUGUAUGUUUUUUAAAAAAUCAAUUGCUUAGCAACUGGCUUUUUUUUCCCUUGAGGAUAAUUGUAAAUAUUCCUUUCAUCAUUCAUUCAUAUGUGCAUGCGUUUAGUGAAUACCUUGCUUACAUAGUCAUCAUUCUUGUAUUGCGUAGUAUUCAAAUGAAUGCAUGUGCAAUAAUGUAUUUUACCUUUUUGCAAUGCUGGAUGUUUAGGGUUGUUUUUAGUGUUACAAAGAGUUGUGUAGUGCACAUACUUUAUGGAUAGAUCUUUGAAGUACUUCUGAGAGUAUCUCUCUAGCAUUGAUUUCUGGAUGUGGGAUUGUUGGAUCAAAGGCUGGCAGAUUGGUUCAAAAACACCUGCAUCAGUGCUCACAAAUAUCACCUUUAUUUGUUCACAGAUAUCGACUGCCAUAUGAGUAACUAGCCUGGAUUCAAAUUUAGGCAGUUGGCCUCCACAGCCUGUGCACUUAAUCUUCUGUUUCUAUGCUUUUGUGUCCCCCUCAGAAAAUGAGGAUAAUAAUAAUAUCUGCCUAUGUACUAGUUAUCUAUUACUGCAUAACAAAUUGCCUAAAACUUAGUGGCUUAAAACAACAAUAAACUUUUAUUAUUUCAUAGUUUCUGUGAGUCAGGAGUUCAGGGGUGGCUUAGCUCUGUGGUUCUGAAGGUUUCUCAUUAGGUUGUGUUAAGGGCUGUAGUUAUCUGAAGGCUUGACUGGCUGGAGGAUUCCCUUCAGGCUUUACCACCUGGCUAGCAACUUAGUACUGGGUGUUGACUGGAGGCCUCAGUUCCUCCCCAUGUGUUCCCCCCCACCCAGGCUGCUUGAGUGUCCCAUGACACGGCAGCGGGAAUCUCCCAAUGUGAGUGAUCCAAGAGAGCAAGACAGAAGCAAUGGCCUUAUAAACCAGCCACGUCGACUGUGUUUAAUAUUAGAUAUUGAGUAUGUUUUUGUUUCAGAAUUCACAGUUUUAUAAGAGGGAAGUAUUUGGCUAGGAAAAAAGUUUGAUUUCUUGAGUAUUGCUAUGCUUUAGCUCUAGUUGAGUCAGAUGUUCAACUCCUGUUCUUUAUCUAGGAGGAUAAGCAACAAAAGGAAAGCUUAGUCCUGGCUUCUUGUUUAUUAGUCUUGGAUAAGAUAGGCCUGGUUGUUUACUGGGACUGUAGUGCUCAGUUUAGAUCUAUCCUGUGGAGAUGACUUAUUGGAAUGGGAGUGCUGGCACAAGGCUGAGCAGUUAGAGGAGUCAUGACUAUAUCCAUUGCCGGUCAUGACCUUCUCAAGAGAAACCUUGUGCAGGGUUGCUGCCACUUCCUUCUUUGCAGCACCCAGAAAGAAGGCCCUUCUUUGUAAGCUGUUAUAAAGUGUGCUCGAUUGGGAAAGGGAAGGUUUAGACAAACUAGAAACUAUCCUUCAGCAAAUACAUUGUGGUUGAAAUACCUAUAGGACAUCCAGUGAAGGUGUCCAGUAGAGAGAUGGGUAUGCGUAACUGAAGGUGAGGAGAGAGCUGGGGGAUACAGAUGGCAUCUGGAUGGUUAUUAAAACUACGAGUGGAUGAGAUGGAUUAUCCUGGAAGUUUUGUGCAGAAGAAAAGGCAACCUUGGGCAUAACCCUGAGUAACACUUAAAGGGCUAGCCAAGGAAGAGGAUUUCACAGAGGAGUGAACAGAGAGAUAGGAGGACAGCCGGAAAAAUAUGGCCUUAUGGAAGCAAAAGGAAGACAAUGUGAAAAUGAGAGACAGGUCAGUACUGUCAAAUGUGACAGAGAGGUCAA